rnacentral:lncRNA from 1 species
AUUUUAAUAUCAAGUUUCUUUUGUAUCAUACUUGAAUCAUUCGCAAAAUGGAGUUUUGUAACUAUAGACUUUAGACAGUUUAUGUAGAUUUAAUAGAUUUGCAUUCGUAUGAAUUUUAUCACAUUUCUGUUUAGAUUGUAAUACAAAUAUUAUUCAAAGAAAAAAUAAAGUUACCAAUACCUAUUAGCUUUUAUUUGAAAUUAGGGGAGAAGUUAAAACUAAGAAAUACAGUAAAUGUGUUUCAUAUACAGUAAGUCCACGUUUAACGUUGCAAUUGACAAUGUUGUUUCGUUAUAACGUCGAUACUCUUUAGAUACCCCUGAUUCGGAAAACGUCCCGCCAAUUCAGUAUAACGCCAUGGACUACUUUGUAUGGCGCAUCACCCAGUCAGCGGGAGGAGGAACCACCCUCCGGCUCUCAGUGACUCGCCACCCUCCUCCUCUCCCACCCUCUUCCUCUCCACUCCCCACCACACACUUGCUUCAUAUACGCCAAUCAGAACGGAACCACCACUUUAAGCGAGGACUUACAGUACUGUACUGUGCAUAUAUAUUCAGCCUUCAACUCCUUCACUACAUGGAUGCCACUUAGAAUAUGUUAUUUGGCUAGCACCAGAUGAUUUUAUUCAGCACAGAGAGGAACCUUCACACAAGGGGUUGGUACGUAGACUAUCUCCACUAAUCUCUUCAUUAUGGGAAGGCCACUUAAGAUAUUUAAUUUUGCCAGAGCCAGACAAUUUUAUUCAGCUUAAGGGGUUAAUUUUUUUGGUUUAACAGAAUCUUAUGAAAUUACCAGCUAGUGUACCUUAUGAAUAAAGAAAAUAGUGCACAAUAAUACAGAUAUAAAAGACAAAUUAAGAGAGUAAGGGUAUACUGUAUGGUGUGAGAUGGAUGUAUCUGAGAGCAGCUGGCAGUUUGUCAAUGUAUCAUGACACUGUAUACCUCACUGUGGACAUGUAUAUCACACAAAUGUUCCAUCACCAAUAAAUGAAAGUUUAAACAACA